UACGGAAGGGGCAAGCGUUGUUCGGAAUCCUUGGGCGUAAAGGGCGCGUAGGUGGUCUUGUAUGUCUACCGUGAAAGCGUACGGCUCAACCGUAUUUAGUCGGUAGAAACUGCAGGACUUGAGGCUGGGAGGGGCUGGUGGAAUUCCCUGUGUAGCGGUGAAAUGCGUAGAGAUGGGGGAGAACACUCGUGGCGAAGGCGGCCAGCUGGACCAGUUCUGACACUGAGGCGCGAUAGCGUGGGGAGCAAACAGG
rnacentral:rRNA from 1 species